rnacentral:lncRNA from 1 species
AAGCUCCCAAGAUAAUUACCCUUGGUAGAUUCGACUACCUCCAAUGUGCACGGCCUUUAUAGAGAGAAAAGAAGAUCCAAACAACACUUUACUAAGAAAAUCUCAUGAACAGUGCAACAAAUUUUAGAAGGAAAAGGAAAAAAAGAGAAGAAAAGAAAACUUGGUGGAUUCGGAAGACAGCCUUGAGAACUCUCGAAAGAGUGAAGUGAUUUUCG